GGCUGGUCUGAAGGUAGUUUUAUUAUCUCAAUUGUUCACAGUCAGUUACAGAUUGAACUCCUUGUUCUAUUCUUCUCUUCUCACUACCAUACUUGACUAGUCUUAA
ensembl:misc_RNA Y_RNA Y RNA